rnacentral:ncRNA from 1 species
AUUCAGGUUGUCCCCCCUUUGGGGGACUAAGAGGGAAGACGGUGAAAUUCCGUCGCGGGCCCGCCGCUGUGACCGGGGAUGCCGCCCAACUCAUAACCACUGGCUGAUUAGACCGGCUGGGAAGGUUUUGGGACGGCACAAGAUCCGGGAGUCAGAAGACCUGCCUGAAU